UGCCACUUUUUCUUCAUAUUGUCUAUUGCUACAAAUAUAACGAUUAUCAUCCACUGCCUUUUUUUUUGUAGGAAAUCUAUUAUAUAUCUUGUGCAUGGAAGAGAUUGUAUACCUCUAUCGAUGGGUGCAUGUGAGCUUGGCCAUGCAACAUUGCAAGGUACGCCAUCCAUUUAAACUGACCAUUGUUGCAAGCAAUGCAAUAAUGUACACAUGUGUCAGGUGCUAGCUAACAGUAUAGCACUCUCAUCAUGCAAAACAAGCCACUUAAACUAAACUAGCACAACUACCGAGCUUCACUACGAAGCACACGUUGCCAUAAAACAGGGCCCGAAACAAAAGGGGGAAAUAUCUAGCUCAAGUCAAUCAGCAGACAGCAGUACUGUGAAAAAAAAGGUGUCAUGAUCACUGAAAAAAUAACGCGCUGUUUCGCUAAAUUAAUCAGUGUACAAUGUCUCAUUAAUAGCACGCUAUAGCAUUACUAAUAGCACAUUUUCAGGGACGAUGCUAUUUUGUAUAGCGCGUUAUGUUUUUUUCCUUGGCCAUGAUAGAUUAUGCGUGUAAUAUCGUCCGACCCAUAGUUUAGAAAACAGGACCGAUAAUCGAACCGGUGUGGCUCUCGGUUCAGGUUUACCGUUCAACCGCCGGUUCACCGGUUCGAUUGUCCAGUUUUUUACCAUAAAAUAAUUUUGUUGAGUAAUAUUUUCCUGGUUUUUCCCGGUUCGAUGACCCGGUUUUUCCACUUGUUUUCAGAAAACCGACCGGUUUUACCAUAAAAAUUUAAGCAUGUAAAGUGUUCUGAAAAGAUCAAGAGAAGUUGGUGUAGACCAAACUUAACAUGGAGUAGUCUGCUAAGAGAGAUCCAAAGGACUAGAAUAUCAUCUAGGAACUAGUCAUAGACAUGAGUGCAUGGAAGAUAGGUAUCCACGUGCCAGAACCAUGUGAGUUGGUACCGAUACCUUAUUGGUUUAAGCUCUAGCGCACCCUUCACAAAAAAUAUUCAUUCCAUGACUUGCCACACAUGUAUCCGCUUUUCCGUAUACGAACACAAUUUUUUUGCCAAUUCCAGACCGACUAUCCCAUUACUAUUGUAUUAUCUUUGCGUUCCUUGGUAGGACUAGCACAAAUGCCCGUGCGUUGCAACGGGGGAGAAAUUGAGUUAUCAGUAUGAAGAAAAAGGUUAGUUGCCUCGUCAACCAAAACACCCAUCAAAGCAGCACAUGCUCCAGAGUCAAUGCAAUAUAGUCUGCUCAUGGAUUUAAUUGACUCAAUUGUCCAAACAGAACUUUUAACUUAACUAUAUUAUCAGCUUACAUAUCAAUUGUUAUUAAUCCUAAACUAGGGUGCAAAUGUUCAGUUCAUGAACUACGGUGACCCAAUUUAACACGGCCCGAUUUGUUUUGUGCAUUUAUGCUUUCUCAAGUACGACGUUAGUGUGCAACAAUGACGGUAGUUGGUUUAUGAUCCAAAUCAAUUCAUCCUAACAUGAAUAAGUGUGUUUGUUUCGGGUUCAUGCUUCAUCUUUUACAGUUUGCCUUAUAAGCGAGAAAAUCUCCUAAAAAAGUGCUUUUGGUUUUGGCUUUUCGCUUAUGAUGAUAUAAGGCAAACUCCAAAGCCGAAAUCCCCUGAAUAAAAGCAUUUUUGUCUUUUUACUGCCCAUAAGAAUUAUGUGCUUCCAGCAUGACCAUCCUUGUAAAACGGCUAAGAAAUAUAUGCACUAUUUGGUUUGCAUGUUUCCUAGUUUGUCUCCAACCUCCACUGUGCUAUUCAUCAAUAAUGAUGCACUAAUUAUUUUUCGUUAAUGUGAGGCAUGCUUAGCCGAAGAAACGGAAGAAAAGCGAAUUUAUCGGUUAAAUAUUGUGAUAGAUUAGUUAACCAAUAACCUAAAUCAGCAAUAAUUGCUUUUUUCCUAAACCUAGGAGAUUUUUCUGAUGGACUUUGAACAAUCUUCUCAGGAAGUUAGAAUGACUUAUUGUACACCUGAAAUAAUUAUUUUCUUGAAUUUUAAAGAUUGCUCUUCUUAAUAAAGAUUUUAUUCUAAAAAUCAUGGAGGUAUCACAACCAGUCUUGUACCAAGCUAGUAUGGGAACAAUUUUUCGUUGGACAACCGCGGGUACCACACCAGCAUUGACCGCCUCCGGUGCUCCCUUGCAUUGACGCACACGUCCAUUCGCCCGCCAAUAAGUGCUAUCACUACCCAUGAAUAUAAUGACAUUGGUUUGGUAAUUGUCAGGGUUGAUAUUUUUUCUAUAAACUUGGUCAAAUUAUGAAAAGUUUGACUUAUGACAAAUCUAAUACAUAGAGUAAAAAGAAAUGGAGGGGGUAUUAUAUUAUCCGCGGUGCUGCAUAUGGGCCAUUUAUGCUAAUGGACUACCGAUAUCCUAAAGACACGCUUUGAUCCUAGAAAUAGUGAAAAUCGCAAAAGCAAUUAUGAUUGGUACGAACAGACCAUAUAUGCUCUUGAAAAAGAAAUUAUGAAGACAUGUACAUGAUGAGAAAACAGACCAUACUCAUGAGAAGAAGACAAUAUCAAGAUAAUACUCCCUUUAUGAGGUCCUCUUCUCGUUUAAUUAGACCCCAUCAGACCACAAAUCUUAGUGUUAAUUAGAGAGCAAAUCUAGCAUGCAUGCGUUGUUGCGUGUCCCCACAUUUAUGGAGUCUUGUCCCCGUGUUUGUUUCCUCUGUUUAGAUUGCUUGCUGAUAUUUGAGAUAACUUGCAAAUCUAUAUAAAUUGGUAGGUUUUGGUAUAGAGAAUCGAGGUGGGAUUAUAACGUGAGCAACCCUGUGUUAUAGCAGCCCGUGCUAGCUUUUUUGGCAUCUGGAAUCCUAUGCUGAUCAAUAGGUGUUGAGUUCGAACCUACUGAUUCACAAGUGUUCGCGUGUCUUUCUUGGAGGGUCAUCCCAGUCCGUGCGUUAAUCGUUUGCCCCCAGCCCGUGCGUUAUUAAGCCCGAAUUACGUCAAAGUGAAUCGUCUGCCUCAGCGAAACUGUUUUUCAGAAGCAUACUAGAGGUUGAUUGUAUAAAUAGUUAGGAAGUUUUCUAUAAAAAUUACAUGACGACUAAGAAUAUCUAUUUCUUAAUUUGCCUUGGUAGGAUGUCCCCUUUAUUUAUUAUUAUAGGUGUCGUUGUAUGGGUGAAGAAACUGUGAUCUAGUAAAUUGCUAUGAAAUUCUGCAUUAAUUUGCCUUUAAUACCAC
rnacentral:lncRNA from 1 species